UGCAACAAAAUUUCCCAAAACCUCAAAUAUGCAGAGGCUACACAAGCGCAGCGGUCGUCAUGCAAGUUUAUCAAAUAUAUCUCCAACAAAUUUUAAUAAGGAUUGCUCUCAUAUAUUUGUAAGAUCGAGACGAAAAUGCAAGCAAUAUUAAAUCCACAAAUACAGCAAGCAUUGCUGAACAAAUCCAAAAUACACGGCUUCGGUGAAACUCAUGCAUGAACGAAGUAAUCACAAAUCGAUCAAAGAUAGAUUCAAUAGUCAAACAAACGAUGCAUGCUCGGCAUUCUCAGCAAAUCUUUCAGCACGAAGAGAUUAAAGCAUGCAAGCGCAGAGGAAGAAAGAGUCAUAUCUAAAGACCAUGGAUUACCUUUGCCGGCAAGUAUUGAAGGUAUGGAUGCACCUGGGUGACAUGCAAGCCGGGAGGAAGAAAUCGCCGCUCGAUCGGAGAAGACAGAAGGACUCGGGAGCUCAGUGCGCACUCAUUGGUGAUCGGAGAUCGGAGGUCGGGGCAUUGGAGGUAGAUCGUCGGAUCCUUGCCGGAGGUGGAGCUCGGGAUCGCCAUGGAUUGAAGCUUUCUCAGCUGAGAGUGGGAG
rnacentral:misc_RNA from 1 species